rnacentral:rRNA from 1 species
AGCAGCCGCGGUAAUUCCAGCUCCAAUAGCGUAUAUUAAAGUUGUUGCAGUUAAAAAGCUCGUAGUUGAAUUUCGGGAUCAAUUAAUUGGUCGUGCCUCUGGUACGUACUGAUUUUAUUGGUUUCUCCCUUCUGACGAACCAUGAUGUCAUUAAUUUGAUGUCGUGGAGAAUCAGGACUGUUACUUUGAAAAAAUUAGAGUGUUUAAAGCAAGCUAACGCUUGAAUACAUUAGCAUGGAAUAAUGAAAUAGGACGUUUGAUCCUAUUUUGUUGGUUUCUAGGAUCGACGUAAUGAUUAAUAGGGAUAGUUGGGGGCAUUAGUAUUCAAUUGUCAGAGGUGAAAUUCUUGGAUUUAUUGAAGACUAACUACUGCGAAAGCAUUUGCCAAGGAUGUUUUCAUUAAUCAAGAACGAAAGUUAGGGGAUCGAAGACGAUCAGAUACUGUCGUAGUCUUAACCAUAAACUAUGCCGACUAGGGAUCGGAUGAUGUUAAUUUUUAAUGA